AUAAUAAAUAAAUAAAUGAAAAUUGGACCGAUACAGAGAAGAUUAGCAUCACCCUUGCGCAAGGAUGACACACAUAUCCAUGAAGCAUUUCAUAUUUAA
rfam:Myotis davidii contig52586, whole genome shotgun sequence.